CAGAAGCUGAUCCAACAAAAGGAACAGGGGAGGAAGAGCAGAGGAGACUGAUGGUGAAGGACACAGAGGAGAGUCUGGAAAGCUCCAGGAGCAAUAACCC